rnacentral:rRNA from 1 species
GACGAACGCUGGCGGCGUGCUUAACACAUGCAAGUCGAACGGAAAGGCCCUGCUUUUGUGGGGUGCUCGAGUGGCGAACGGGUGAGUAACACGUGAGUAACCUGCCCUUGACUUUGGGAUAACUUCAGGAAACUGGGGCUAAUACCGGAUAGGAGCUCCUGCUGCAUGGUGGGGGUUGGAAAGUUUCGGCGGUUGGGGAUGGACUCGUGGCUUAUCAGCUUGUUGGUGGGGUAGUGGCUUACCAAGGCUUUGACGGGUAGCCGGCCUGAGAGGGUGACCGGCCACAUUGGGACUGAGGUACGGCCCAGACUCCUACGGGAGGCAGCAGUGGGGAAUAAUGCACAAUGGGCGGAAGCCGGAUGCAGCAACGCCGCGUGCGGGAUGACGGCCUUCGGGUUGUAAACCGCUUUCGCCUGUGACGAAGCGGGAGUGACGGUAAUGGGUAAAGAAGCACCGGCUAACUACGUG